UUGACUGGAUAUACACAUGCAAGUUUAAAAGCACACAAGUUGUUUUUGGUUGUUGGCGCAUGCGCACUGUAGCCUAUGUGGACGUUGGAGGCUGGAGCUCAUGUGGAUUGUGGAAUAGCGCCAAACUUCAUCGUUUAAAGUAAGUAUAUUUUUCUGUGUAUUUGAAACUGAAUUUAAGUAAUGUAAUGGCGCUGUGCAAUCUUAUUUUAAAGCAAGUUUUCAUGAAAUAACUAAUCAAGGAGAAAAUAUGUUGGAAUACCGGUUUUAUAUCUUGCAAAUCUUAAACUUAAUGUUUUCAAAUCCUCGCUAUAUCCAACACAGUUAUUGGAAAUAAUGUGCGAUUCGUCUCAUAGACUUAACUCAAAAUGUAAUUGUGUUGUUUUACAUCAUAAAAACGUCAUUGCAGCUCACGUGAAUUGAUAGCGCCUUGCACGAACACGACAAACGUAACGUUAGAAAAAACUCUGUUGGAGCUCACGUGGAAUGGUGGCAUUUUGAUCGUCAGUAAAACGUGCAGCACGAGAUCGCGACACUUCAUCGUUUAAACAAAAAAACUCUGUUGGAGCUCACGUGGAAUGACAGCGCCAUUUUGAUCGUCAGUAAAACGUGCAGCACGAGAUCGCGACAAACUUCAUUGUUUAAAAAAACUCUGUUGGAGCUCACGUGGAAUGGUGGCAUUUUGAUCUUCAGUAAAACGUGCAGCACGAGAUCGCGACAAACUUCAUCGUUUAAAAAAACUCUGUUGGAGCUCACGUGGAAUGAUGGGAUUUUGAUCUUCAGUAAAACGUGCAGCACGAGUUUGCAACAAACUUCAUCGUUUAAAGACACAUCGCCAAUAGACAGACAGACCAGAGGGAUAAAAAUGGGAAUUCUGGCGAUAACUGAGGAUGAUGUCGCCUCUAGCGAAUUGCCAACCUUUCAAAACUUUGCUAUUGUUUUGGAGGAGGCAAUUGUUCUGAAGGAUUUUCCAGACCUUCCAUCUGCGGUUUCAUACCUGUUUGGCCUUGUCUUUGCCUUGAAUUUUGAAUACCCCAAAGAACUGAAAUAUACUUUUGAAGUAAUUGAGAAGGUGUUCAUGGACAUGGGCACUCAGUGCUCUACGAGAGUACAGUCCUUAAAAACAAAACUCUUGCUGUGAAAGUUCAAUUGUGUGAAUUGACGUUGGAACAGAGUAUGUUAAAAUGUAAAACAGAUUGUUGAAUUGUUGUGAAUUGUUUACCCAUGUUCAGGUAUGUUUUAAGACUGUUUAAUGACAUUGUGAUGAUUUUUUUUGUGUUAGGCACAUUGACACUUUUGCUCUACAAGGGUAUUAUUGCUGAGAACUGUUAAUUUAGUUGUGAGCAUCUUUUGAAUUAAACUAAGAAGAUUUUAACAUUAGGACAUUAAUAUUAAAGUUGUUGAAAUGUAACUUUGAAGUCUUACAAUGUCAUUUUAAUUGUUUUGUUUAUUUGUAUGCUUAUUAUUAAUUUUCAGAUUAUUUAUUGUAAUUUUAUUUGUAUUUUAAUUUAAUUUGUGUUUGUACUUUUUUUUUACAAAUACUAUAUACAAAAGUGUAUUUUUGUUAGAAAAAUUUUAAUUUAAUUUUACAUUUCAAAAGGUGGACUGACCAUCCAGUGUUGAACUGCAACGUUUACAUGUUCAUUGAUGUUUUGAUGUUUUAAGCAUUCUAAGGAAUAGAGUCAAAGCUUUUACAUGUGAAAAGGGAUACAUUUAUCUUUAGUUUUUAUGUUUUUAAUUUGUAUUAUUGAUUUUGACAUUUUCCAGUAUUUCUUUAUUUUUAUUAUAUUGACACUCAUAUUUUUUUCUGUUAGGAAGUAUGACACUUAUUUGACCUUGUUUGUAUUUCUUUACAGAAAGUAAACAAAACUUGAAGCAAGCAUUUGGUUUUAUUUUACAAGACUGUGUAAAUUCAAACUAGAACAGAACAUUUGUCCAUUUAACUCACAGGAAAAAGUUCACAUAACAUAAUUUGAGUUGUGUCAAAAAAGGAUUUAAGUCCAGUUAACUAACAAAACUGAGUUGGCUGAACGAAUAGAAAACUUUUAUUGAGUUGUUUCAAAAAGGAAUUAAGUCCAGUUAACUAACAAAACUGAGUUGGCUGAACGAAUAGAGAACUUUUAUUGAGUUGUUUCAAAAAGGAAUUAAGUCCAGUUAACUAACAAAACUGAGUUGACUGAACAAAUAGAGAACUUUUAUUGAGUUGUGUCAAAAAGGAAAUAAGUCCAGUUAACUAACAAAACUAAGUUGGCUGAACAAAUAGAGAACUUUUAUUGAGUUGUUUCAAAAAGGAAUUAAGUCCAGUUAACUAACAAAACUGAGUUGACUGAACAAAUAGAGAACUUUUAUUGAGUUGUGUCAAAAAGGAAAUAAGUCCAGUUAACUAACAAAACUGAGUUGGCUGAACAAAAAGAGACCUUUGACUUAACUCAGUGAUUCUAAUUGAGUGAACAACUUUUUCAAAAGUUGAGUAAACUCAAAAAUGCUGUGCAGCAAGUUGCCUCGAAAUUUUGAGUUGAGUCAACUUUUUAUUUUUUACAG